rnacentral:sRNA from 1 species
GAUACCAGGGUCAAAAGGUCAUGCUGUUCAUGCUUGCAUGAAAAAGCAUGACUUUGUGGCCCGCAAAACAUGAGCAAGCAGCCAUUUUUCGCAGAAAAAUGAGCGGAUUGUGAAUGUUUUCGUCGAUUUUGGGAGUGCAAAGCACGGAAAAAUCG